ACGAACGCUGGCGGCGUGCUUAACACAUGCAAGUCGAACGGAAAGGCUCCAGCUUGCUGGAGUGCUCGAGUGGCGAACGGGUGAGUAACACGUGGGCAAUCUGCCCUGCACUCUGGGAUAAGCCUGGGAAACUGGGUCUAAUACCGGAUAGGACCUUUCUCCUCAUGGGGUUUGGUGGAAAGUUUUUCGGUGCAGGAUGAGCCCGCGGCCUAUCAGCUUGUUGGUGGGGUAAUGGCCUACCAAGGCGACGACGGGUAGCCGGCCUGAGAGGGUGAUCGGCCACAUUGGGACUGAGAUACGGCCCAGACUCCUACGGGAGGCAGCAGUGGGGAAUAUUGCACAAUGGGCGAAAGCCUGAUGCAGCGACGCCGCGUGAGGGAUGACGGCCUUCGGGUUGUAAACCUCUUUCAGUAGGGACGAAGCGCAAGUGACGGUACCUGCAGAAGAAGCACCGGCUAACUACGUG
rnacentral:rRNA from 1 species